GCUGUAGCUCCGUGUUAGAGCAUCUAUUCUGCAUGCAGAAGGUCCCAGGUUCCAUUCCUGGCAUCUCCA